CCUACGGGAGGCAGCAGUGGGGAAUUUUCCGCAAUGGGCGAAAGCCUGACGGAGCAAUACCGCGUGAGGGAGGAAGGCUCUUGGGUUGUAAACCUCUUUUUUCAGGGAAGAUAAUGACGGUACCUGAGGAAUAAGCAUCGGCUAACUCCGUGCCAGCAGCCGCGGUAAUACGGAGGAUGCAAGCGUUAUCCGGAAUGAUUGGGCGUAAAGCGUCCGCAGGUGGUUUUAAAAGUCUGUUGUUAAAGCGUGAGGCUUAACCUCAUAAGGGCAAUGGAAACUGUAAGACUAGAGUACGUUCGGGGCAAGGGGAAUUCCCAGUGUAGCGGUGAAAUGCGUAGAGAUUGGGAAGAACACCGGUGGCGAAAGCGCCUUGCUAGGCCGUAACUGACACUGAGGGACGAAAGCUAGGGGAGCGAAUGGGAUUAGAUACCCCAGUAGUCCUAGCCGUAAACGAUGGAUACUAGGCGUUGUCUGUAUCGACCCGGACAGUGCCGUAGCUAACGCGUUAAGUAUCCCGCCUGGGGAUACGCACGCAAGUGUGAAACUCAAAGGAAUUGACGGCUGNGANGCAGCGCACGAGGAGAG
rnacentral:rRNA from 1 species